rnacentral:misc_RNA from 1 species
GGAAGUCGAGCGACAACCAAUCAAUGUUUUUGUGGCUAACUUCCAUUUGGCAAAAAUUUUAUUUGAGAAAGUAAUUCAACAAAACAAGAACUCGACUAUUCGGACAGUUUGAAUUUGUUAUUAUUAAAUUAUCAUAUAUUGCUCACAUAAAUUGUAACCGUGCUGUAUAACGAUCACUGCUAUUUAUAUACUGUUUCAAUUAUUCGUGUGAUAUACUUUUUAUGCAACUUCUGUUAUAUUCAAAUUCAAACGUGUCAAGUCAUAAUAUAUAUAUACAUAUAUACACAUGUGUAUAUAUAAUAAGUCCAAUGAUCAAACAACUUUUAUCUAAAGCGCUUUCGCCCUACCGUACAUUCAUAAUCUAUAAUAAGAAUAUUAACCACCUCUGCGCAUUUUUCAUAGUGUUGUAUCACAGGCGCAUAAUUAUAAACGCAUUGAAUACAGUUAUCUCAUUGUACUCGUGUAACAGUAUUAGACAAAAUAUUAAUAAAUAAACUCUUGAAUAUUGAACUAUGAAGAACAUUUACAGAAAUCUUAAAAUUGAAUACAUAUGUACAUGUAGAAGUUAUUGUGUUUGUUAAAAUAAAAUAUUGCACUAAUUGUGAAAAUAGAAACUCGAGUAUUCAUUGAAUCCGAUAAAAUAUCAUGGUCUGAGAAGACAUGUUUUGUACCCGUGUAUAAUCGACAUCACGUGGUUGAAAGUGAGUAACGCGAUCACCUGAUUUAUUCCCCAAUGAAAUGUCUCACAGGUAACAGGGCUUGGAGAAGUUACUGUUGAUGAUAGAUUUGAUGGCGGAGUAUGUGGAGGCGAUCCCGGCCACCGUGCCAAGCAGAAUGAUCUCGAUGUUCAUCACCUUCACCCACAAAGGGAGGCCCUGGCUGUAAAAGGAAGACAAUUUAAUGGAGGGAGUAUUGUCGAGUGAUCAGUGGAAAGGACCUUUUGUAAAACAGUACCAACAUGUACAUGUAAUAACCGUUAGUUUUGUGUAGGCGUCGGAACCACACCCCCCCCCCCCCCCCCCCCACACACACACACAUACACAUACUUUUUUUGCAAAUAAACAUGACCAAAAAAUGGU